GGAUGCGAUCAUACCAGCACUAAUGCACCGGAUCCCAUCAGAACUUCGAAGUUAAGCGUGCUCGGGCGAGUGUAGUACUAGGAUGGGUGACCCCCUGGGAAGUCCUCGUGUUGCAUCCCCCA
rnacentral:rRNA from 1 species